AUGAACGCUAGCUACAGGCUUAACACAUGCAAGUCGAGGGGCAGCAUUUCAGUUUGCUUGCAAACUGGAGAUGGCGACCGGCGCACGGGUGAGUAACACGUAUCCAACCUGCCGAUAACUCGGGGAUAGCCUUUCGAAAGAAAGAUUAAUACCCGAUGGUAUAAUUAGACCGCAUGGUCUUGUUAUUAAAGAAUUUCGGUUAUCGAUGGGGAUGCGUUCCAUUAGGCAGUUGGUGAGGUAACGGCUCACCAAACCUUCGAUGGAUAGGGGUUCUGAGAGGAAGGUCCCCCACAUUGGAACUGAGACACGGUCCAAACUCCUACGGGAGGCAGCAGUGAGGAAUAUUGGUCAAUGGGCGCAGGCCUGAACCAGCCAAGUAGCGUGAAGGAUGACUGCCCUAUGGGUUGUAAACUUCUUUUAUAUGGGAAUAAAGUUUUCCACGUGUGGAAUUUUGUAUGUACCAUAUGAAUAAGGAUCGGCUAACUCCGUGCCAGCAGCCGCGGUAAUACGGAGGAUCCGAGCGUUAUCCGGAUUUAUUGGGUUUAAAGGGAGCGUAGGUGGACAGUUAAGUCAGUUGUGAAAGUUUGCGGCUCAACCGUAAAAUUGCAGUUGAUACUGGCUGUCUUGAGUACAGUAGAGGUGGGCGGAAUUCGUGGUGUAGCGGUGAAAUGCUUAGAUAUCACGAAGAACUCCGAUUGCGAAGGCAGCUCACUGGACUGCAACUGACACUGAUGCUCGAAAGUGUGGGUAUCAAACAGGAUUA
rnacentral:rRNA from 1 species